UCCUCUUGGAAUAGGAGGUAAGGCCUGCUCACUGAGUAUUUAAAGAGCCGCAGUAUCCUAACUGUGCUAAGGUAGCAUAAUCAUUAGUCUUUUAAUUGGAGACUGGUAUGAAUGGCUAAACGAGAAAUUAACUUUUUUUGUUAUAAAAAUUGAACUUAAUUUUUUAGUGAAAAAGCUAAAAUAAUUCAGAAAGACGAGAAGACCCUAUAGAGUUUUAUGUUUUAGAGCAUUCUUUUUAAUUGGAUUUUUAAGGAUUGAUUGUUUAUAGACAUUUUGUUGGGGCGACAUUAAGAUAAGAAAAACUCUUUAUUUUUAUAAUUUUAAUGAAAAAUUAAUUUGAUCCUCUAUAAGAGAUCAAAAGAAAAAAUUACCUUAGGGAUAACAGCGUAAUCUUUUUUGAGAGUUCUAAUCGACAAAAAGGUUUGCGACCUCGAUGUUGGACUAAAAUUUAGGCAGGGUGCAGCAGUUCUGCUUUAAG
rnacentral:rRNA from 1 species